rnacentral:rRNA from 1 species
CAGGUCACAGGGUUCGAUGCUGGCUCAGAACGAACGCUGGCGGCAGGCCUAACACAUGCAAGUCGAGCGCCCCGCAAGGGGAGCGGCAGACGGGUGAGUAACACGUGGGAACGUGCCCGAAGGUACGGAACAACUCCGGGAAACUGGAGCUAAUACCGUAUGUGACCGAGAGGUGAAAGAUUUAUCGCCUUCGGAUCGGCCCGCGUCUGAUUAGCUAGUUGGUGGGGUAAUGGCCUACCAAGGCGACGAUCAGUAGCUGGUCUGAGAGGAUGAGCAGCCACACUGGGACUGAGACACGGCCCAGACUCCUACGGGAGGCAGCAGUGGGGAAUUUUCCGCAAUGGGCGAAAGCCUGACGGAGCAACGCCGCGUGAGGGAGGAAGGCUCUUGGGUUGUAAACCUCUUUUGUUAGGGAAGAAAAAAAUGACGGUACCUAACGAAUCAGCAUCGGCUAACUCCGUGCCAGCAGCCGCGGUAAUACGGAGGAUGCAAGCGUUAUCCGGAAUUAUUGGGCGUAAAGCGUCCGCAGGUGGUGGUUCAAGUCGGCUGUCAAAGCAUGGAGCUUAACUCCAUAAAGGCAGUGGAAACUGAACAACUAGAGGUCAGUAGGGGUAGCAGGAAUUCCCAGUGUAGCGGUGAAAUGCGUAGAGAUUGGGAAGAACAUCGGUGGCGAAAGCGUGCUACUGGGCUGAAUCUGACACUGAGGGACGAAAGCUAGGGGAGCAAAAGGGAUUAGAUACCCCUGUAGUCCUAGCCGUAAACGAUGGAAACUAGGCGUGGCUUGUAUCGACCCGAGCCGUGCCGAAGCUAACGCGUUAAGUUUCCCGCCUGGGGAGUACGCACGCAAGUGUGAAACUCAAAGGAAUUGACGGGGGCCCGCACAAGCGGUGGAGCUAUGUGGUUUAAUUCGAUGCAACGCGAAGAACCUUACCAGGGCUUGACAUUUAGCGUUCCUUUUGAAAAGAAGGGUGUACUACUUUCGAAGUAGAGGAUAAACAGGUGGUGCAUGGCUGUCGUCAGCUCGUGUCCGUGAGAUGUCGGGUUAAGUCCCUUAACGAGCGCAACCCUGUCUUAGUUGAUCUGCUUUAUAGAUAGGAGCCAAACUAGAGGAGACUGCCGGUGAUAACCGGAGGAAGGAGAGGAUGACGUCAAGUCAGCAUGCCCCUUACGUCCUGGGCUACACACGUGCUACAAUGGCCGGGACAAUGAGAUGCAACCCUGCGAAGGUAAGCUAACCUCAAAAACCCGGUCUCAGUUCGGAUUGCAGGCUGCAACUCGCCUGCAUGAAGUCGGAAUCGCUAGUAAACGCUGGUCAGCCAUACAGCGUUGAAUAUUGUUCCCGGGCCUUGUACACACCGCCCGUCACAUUCGGGGAAUUGGGUUGGUUCGAAAUCAUUAUCUUAACCUUUUAGGAGAGAGGUGCUUACAGCCGGUCUAGUGACUCAAAUGAAGUCGUAACAAGGUAACCCUACGAUGUGAUGCUUGCACAAGUGAUCCA